UAUCUUGUGCAUAAAGCUUCUGCGAAAAAUAAUGGCAUGAAAAGCAACUGAUAAAAAAAGAAAUAAAUCCAAGGAUUAGUUUUUUAACUUCAUUAAACUCACACAGAUGCAGGUAGUAAUGUUCAUUGCAUAUAUAGAAAAUACACUCACGUAAACAACUAAUAGAUAGGCAAAGCAAAUUUUGCACAGAGGAUACAAAAUUGAAGUUAUGACGUCAUACGAGGACCUUGUCCAUAUUAACAAAUAGAACAGAUAAAGGAGGAAAAACAAAAAGGCUAAUCCAAUUCUAUAUGGAAGGGAAAAAAGGCACAGGCUUAUCGAAUGAUAAAUAAAUGACUGAAAUUAAUUUUAAGAUUAAAAGGGCUAGAAAUGGAGACAAUUGAUAUAAUCUCCCUUUUUGGAAAGGGGCAAAUUAAUAGAAAACCGGCUUAAUACGCCAAC
rnacentral:misc_RNA from 1 species